rnacentral:rRNA from 1 species
UACGUAGGGGGCAAGCGUUGUCCGGAAUUAUUGGGCGUAAAGAGCUCGUAGGCGGUCUGUCACGUCGGCUGUGAAAACCCGGGGCUCAACCCCGGGCCUGCAGUCGAUACGGGCAGACUAGAGUGCGGUAGGGGAGACUGGAAUUCCUGGUGUAGCGGUGAAAUGCGCAGAUAUCAGGAGGAACACCGGUGGCGAAGGCGGGUCUCUGGGCCGUAACUGACGCUGAGGAGCGAAAGCGUGGGGAGCGAACAGG